GCCGUUAUGGCUCAGUGGAUAGAGCGUCGGCCUGAGGACUGAAAGAUCCCAGGUUCGAUUCCGGUCAAGGGCA
rnacentral:tRNA from 1 species